rnacentral:rRNA from 1 species
AGAGUUUGAUCAUGGCUCAGGAUGAACGCUGGCGGCGUGCCUAAUACAUGCAAGUCGAACGAGUUCUGAUUAUUGAAAGGUGCUUGCAUCUUGAUUUAAUUUUGAACGAGUGGCGGACGGGUGAGUAACACGUGGGUAACCUGCCCUUAAGUGGGGGAUAACAUUUGGAAACAGAUGCUAAUACCGCAUAAAUCCAAGAACCGCAUGGUUCUUGGCUGAAAGAUGGCGUAAGCUAUCGCUUUUGGAUGGACCCGCGGCGUAUUAGCUAGUUGGUGAGGUAACGGCUCACCAAGGCAAUGAUACGUAGCCGAACUGAGAGGUUGAUCGGCCACAUUGGGACUGAGACACGGCCCAAACUCCUACGGGAGGCAGCAGUAGGGAAUCUUCCACAAUGGACGCAAGUCUGAUGGAGCAACGCCGCGUGAGUGAAGAAGGCUUUCGGGUCGUAAAACUCUGUUGUUGGAGAAGAAUGGUCGGCAGAGUAACUGUUGUCGGCGUGACGGUAUCCAACCAGAAAGCCACGGCUAACUACGUGCCAGCAGCCGCGGUAAUACGUAGGUGGCAAGCGUUAUCCGGAUUUAUUGGGCGUAAAGCGAGCGCAGGCGGUUUUUUAAGUCUGAUGUGAAAGCCCUCGGCUUAACCGAGGAAGUGCAUCGGAAACUGGGAAACUUGAGUGCAGAAGAGGACAGUGGAACUCCAUGUGUAGCGGUGAAAUGCGUAGAUAUAUGGAAGAACACCAGUGGCGAAGGCGGCUGUCUGGUCUGUAACUGACGCUGAGGCUCGAAAGCAUGGGUAGCGAACAGGAUUAGAUACCCUGGUAGUCCAUGCCGUAAACGAUGAAUGCUAGGUGUUGGAGGGUUUCCGCCCUUCAGUGCCGCAGCUAACGCAUUAAGCAUUCCGCCUGGGGAGUACGACCGCAAGGUUGAAACUCAAAGGAAUUGACGGGGGCCCGCACAAGCGGUGGAGCAUGUGGUUUAAUUCGAAGCAACGCGAAGAACCUUACCAGGUCUUGACAUCUUUUGAUCACCUGAGAGAUCAGGUUUCCCCUUCGGGGGCAAAAUGACAGGUGGUGCAUGGUUGUCGUCAGCUCGUGUCGUGGGAUGUUGGGUUAAGUCCCGCAACGAGCGCAACCCUUAUGACUAGUUGCCAGCAUUUAGUUGGGCACUCUAGUAAGACUGCCGGUGACAAACCGGAGGAAGGUGGGGAUGACGUCAAAUCAUCAUGCCCCUUAUGACCUGGGCUACACACGUGCUACAAUGGAUGGUACAACGAGUUGCGAGACCGCGAGGUCAAGCUAAUCUCUUAAAGCCAUUCUCAGUUCGGACUGUAGGCUGCAACUCGCCUACACGAAGUCGGAAUCGCUAGUAAUCGCGGAUCAGCACGCCGCGGUGAAUACGUUCCCGGGCCUUGCACACACCGCCCGUCA